rnacentral:lncRNA from 1 species
CUACAUGCUGAAGGAUAUUUAAGGCCCAGCCUUAAGGAGGGAACUUGGAACUCUUUUGGCUGAGUUUCCACUGGUGCACACCAGUAAAAUAUACAGUCCUUUUGCCUGAUUGGAUUGUCUAUGGGUCUUCCUUGGUGGUGGGCGAAUACCUGGACCCUAACACAUGGAAGGUCUGCUGAAGUCUUGGUUCUGAAAAUUCGUACACUGAGAUGUCUUUGGGUCAUUCCUCAUAAAAAGAAGCAUGCUCUGAAACUUCAUAAAUUUUUUUUUCUAGAACAAUGAAAACAGUCUUGAUUCUAUUCCCGUGAUAAGUGAGUUGAAAAUAUAUUAAUUGAAACCAUAUUGUUUUGAAGCCACACUUGUAUGGUUACAAAAUUCAAAUAUAUUUGUAUAGACCACUUUUGGGGUAAGUCAUGAGAAGGAUGAAAAUCUGCAAUGCAGAAUCUUGUUUAAAGUGACAUUUUUACUCUGAGGAAGAAAUAAGCUUAGUCAUACCCAUUUUAAAUUAUUCAAUUUAUCAAUAAGGUACAUGUUGGGUUUUUUAAAGAACUAGUUAUAAAAAUAGAUAGAAAUGUUAAAUACUUUUUGCAAAUGAGUAAUUUUUAAAAGAUCAUGAGUCUAUAUACUUUUAAAGGGACCUAGUUCAAUCUGAAUCUUGGCAAAAUAAAUUUUUCUUAAAAAUCA